CACCUUUGAAGUUGGUUCGCAACCCGCCAUAAAACCAAAAGAAGAAGAAGAAUAUUUUCAUUCUUCAUUCAGUCCGCGCGCGUUUGUUGUGUCUUCUGAGAUCUGCUCCUCCUCCAGUGAAGCUCCUCCCACAACAAGCACACCUUCAGUGAAGCUCCUCCCACAACAAGCACAUCUUCAGUGAAGCUCCUCCCACAACAAGCACACCUUCAGUGAAGCUCCUCCCACUGCAGUUCAGCAAUAAAUGCUGGAAUAUUCCCAUCAGUCUACAAGUGAAGACGAGCAUCAGAGCAUCAGGAAGAAGUGAAAUCUGCAGAGACAGAGUUUAUUGAAGGACAGAGAGAACAUGAGAGAUCCAGAACCCUGCAGAAUGAAACACACUGAAGAACAAACAGACAAGGCUUAAAUUACUGAAAAGAAGAAAAGACAAGAAAAGGUUCACCUGCACUCAGUGUGGAAAGAGUUUCACAUACAAACAGCAUCUCAGUGCUCACAUGAGGAUCCACACUGGAGAGAAACCAUUCACAUGUGAUCAGUGCGAGAAGAGUUUCACACAACAAGGACACCUUCAGAGACACAUGAGGAUCCACACUAGAGAGAAACUGCAUGAAUGUGAUCAAUGCGAUCUGCUCCUCCUCCAGUGAAGCUCCUCCCACAACAAGCACACCUUCAGUGAAGCACCUCCCACAACAAGCACAUCUUCAGUGAAGCUCCUCCCACAAUAAGCACACCUUCAGUGAAGCUCCUCCCACAACAAGCACACCUUCAGUGAAGCUCCUCCCACUGCAGUUCAGCAAUAAAUGCUGGAAUAUUCCCAUCAGUCUACAAGUGAAGACGAGCAUCAGAGCAUCAGGAAGAAGUGAAAUCUGCAGAGACAGAGUUUAUUGAAGGACAGAGAGAACAUGAGAGAUCCAGAACCCUGCAGAAUGAAACACACUGAAGAACAAACAGACAAGGCUUAAAUUACUGAAAAGAAGAAAAGACAAGAAAAGGUUCACCUGCACUCAGUGUGGAAAGAGUUUCACAUACAAACAGCAUCUCAAUGUUCACAUGAGGAUCCACACUGGAGAGAAACCAUUCACAUGUGAUCAGUGCGAGAAGAGUUUCACACAACAAGGACACCUUCAGAGACACAUGAGGAUCCACACUAGAGAGAAACUGCAUGAAUGUGAUCAAUGCGGUAAAACAUUUUUGAGGGCUUCAGUCCUGAAGGAGCACAUGAACAUUCAUACGAAGGAGAAACCACAUUCAUGUUCUUUGUGUGGAAAGAGUUUUUCACAUCUGCAGAGUUUAAAAGUUCAUCAGAAGAUACACACCGGUGUGAGAUCAUAUGUGCUUUGAGUGCG